UACAGAGGUCUCAAGCGUUGUUCGGAUUCAUUGGGCGUAAAGGGUGCGUAGGCGGCGCGGUAAGUCGGGUGUGAAAUCUCGGAGCUUAACUCCGAAACUGCAUUCGAUACUGCCGUGCUUGAGGACUGGAGAGGAGACUGGAAUUCACGGUGUAGCAGUGAAAUGCGUAGAGAUCGUGAGGAAGACCAGUGGCGAAGGCGGGUCUCUGGACAGUUCCUGACACUGAGGCACGAAGGCCAGGGGAGCAAACGGG
rnacentral:rRNA from 1 species